AGCACCUGUUAAAAGGUUUGGGCUUCUGGGAUGUUCUUGACAUCAACCUGCAAAAUGGCCACAGCUUGGAGGGACACCUGACCUUUUGCCACUAGCUGGGGAACUUCUUAUCAUUUAAAUAAUUAAAACAGCAGCCAUUCUUCUUCAACUCCUGUCAGCCUGAAAGCCAUUCGUGUUAAACCAGUGCAGCACCAACGGGGAGCUUUAGCUAAGACACUGCUGACAGCACUGAAAAUAGUGGAAGUCCUGUAACCACCAUCACACCCUCUGUCACCUGCAAGAAAUGAAAAAUUUAAGAAGGCUUUUCCAUUUAAACAGAUGCUCAUGAAUGUCAUUGCUGCACCUUUGUGAUUUUAAAUUAGAGGUUGUAAACAGUCACAGAAUAAAGUUGCA